rnacentral:rRNA from 1 species
GCCGCGUGAGCGAUGAAGAUCUUCGGAUUGUAAAGUUCUGUUGUUAGGAAAGAAUACUAUAUAUAGGAAAUGAUAUAUAGAUGACGGUACCUAACUAGAAAGCCCCGGCUAACUAUAUGCCAGCCGCCGCGGUAAU